AUGAUGAUGAUAGGAACAAUCAGACUUCAUUUGUGUUUUCUUCGUCUUCUGUUCAUGCUUUCCUUGGUGUUCAUAUGUAUUAUUAUGCUUCUCGAUUGGAGGCUCUUUUUUUUCUCCUCUUGCUGUGAAAAAAGAAAGAGUGAGGCUAUGCCAUUCCAUAGCAUACAUAGUUGUUGUGUGCCUCCGUGUAUGUCAAUAGAAUUGAACAAAAAUGUAACUGUUUGUACCUGCCUGCUCAAUUUGCAUAUAUCUGCUCCAAACCUGGCACCUGGUUCUUAUUGCCUGAGUAAAUCCGUCAUUCAUUUGUUGAUCAAUAAAUAA
rnacentral:rRNA from 1 species